AGUGAACGCUGGCGGGAGGCCUAACACAUGAAAGUCGAACGGCAGCACAGUAAGAGCUUGCUCUUACGGGUGGCGAGUGGCGGACGGGUGAGGAAUACAUCGGAAUCUACUUUUUCGUGGGGGAUAACGUAGGGAAACUUACGCUAAUACCGCAUACGACCUACGGGUGAAAGCAGGGGAUCUUCGGACCUUGCGCGAUUGAAUGAGCCGAUGUCGGAUUAGCUAGUUGGCGGGGUAAAGGCCCACCAAGGCGACGAUCCGUAGCUGGUCUGAGAGGAUGAUCGGCCACACUGGAACUGAGACACGGUCCAGACUCCUACGGGAGGCAGCAGUGGGGAAUAUUGGACAAUGGGCGCAAGCCUGAUCCAGCAAUACCGCGUGGGUGAAGAAGGCCUUCGGGUUGUAAAGCCCUUUUGUUGGGAAAGAAAAGCAGCAGGUUAAUACCCCGCUGUUCUGACGGUACCCAAAGAAUAAGCACCGGCUAACUUCGUG
rnacentral:rRNA from 1 species